AAGCUCGUCGAGACCUCGACCUGAAUACCUGAACCCCCAAAGGUCCAGCACAUAACAAAUAGGUAGAGAGUUAGUAAACAUAAUCACAUACAUACGAAUAUAGAAACGCACCUAUAUUCAACCUAUCACGUAUUACUAACUCACACACAUGCCUUAAUAAGUAAUACACCAGAUAACACAUACUCACAAUUACACAACCAGAUAGUUUCACGUCGUUUCGGACAACACAAAGAACUCACAUAACACAUAACACCUAAUUGCACAUUUACU
rnacentral:lncRNA from 1 species